GAUGAACGCUAGCGACAGGCCUAACACAUGCAAGUCGAGGGGCAGCACGGUGUAGCAAUACACGGGUGGCGACCGGCGCACGGGUGAGUAACGCGUAUGCAACCUGCCUACUACAAGGGGAUAACCCGUUGAAAGACGGACUAAUACCCUAUAACACAGGGAAUCCGCAUGGAUAUAUUUGUUAAAGAUUUAUCGGUAGUAGAUGGGCAUGCGUUCCAUUAGCUUGUUGGUGAGGUAACGGCUCACCAAGGCAACGAUGGAUAGGGGAACUGAGAGGUUGAUCCCCCACACUGGAACUGAGACACGGUCCAGACUCCUACGGGAGGCAGCAGUGAGGAAUAUUGGUCAAUGGACGAGAGUCUGAACCAGCCAAGUCGCGUGAAGGAAGACGGCCCUACGGGUUGUAAACUUCUUUUGUAAGGGAAUAAAUAGUCUUACGCGCUAAGACGUUGCAGGUACCUUACGAAUAAGGAUCGGCUAACUCCGUGCCAGCAGCCGCGGUAAUCAUACUCG
rnacentral:rRNA from 1 species